GGACUACCGGGGUAUCUAAUCCUGUUUGCUCCCCACGCUUUCGCACCUCAGCGUCAAUACAUGUCCAGCGGGCCGCCUUCGCCACUGGUGUUCUUCCGAAUAUCUACGAAUUUCACCUCUACACUCGGAAUUCCACCCGCCUCUCCAUGAUUCAAGCGAUGCAGUCUUAAAGGCAGUUCUGGUGUUGAGCACCAGGCUUUCACCUCUAACUUACAAAGCCGCCUACGUGCGCUUUACGCCCAGUAAUUCCGAACAACGCUAGCCCCCUCCGUAUUACCGCGGCUGCUGGCAC
rnacentral:rRNA from 1 species